CCCUGGACUUCCUCUGACUUUGUUUCUUCCCGGGUGGGAAGGAAGGUGGAGUAAGACGCCUUACGUCCCCGACAAAAGCUUGGAUCGAGGGGUGACUUUCAAUAGAUCGCAGCGAGUGAGCUGCUCUGCUACGUACGAAACCCUGACCCAGAAUCAGGUCGUCUACGAGUGAUUUAGCACCAGGUUCCCCACAAACAUGCUGUGCGCAUCAGGAGAGGGGCGACCAUCAUCCGGCCGCACCCCGACCCUGUCACGAACGGCCCUGCGCACCGACCGAAGCCGGCUAUCCUUGGCCAACCGGAGAUCCGCGGCGCUACGGUAUCAUUACGUUUAGGGGGGAUUCUGACUUAGAGGCGUUCAGUCAUAAUCCCACAGAUGGUAGCUUCGCACCAUUGGCUCCUCAGCCAAGCACAUACA